rnacentral:rRNA from 1 species
GAUGAACGCUGGCGGCGUGCCUAAUACAUGCAAGUCGAGCGAACAGAUGAGGAGCUUGCUCCUCUGACGUUAGCGGCGGGCGGGUGAGUAACACGUGGAUAACCUACCUAUAAGACUGGGAUAACUUCGGGAAACCGGAGCUAAUACCGGAUAAUAUAUUGAACCGCAUGGUUCAAUAGUGAAAGACGGUUUUGCUGUCACUUAUAGAUGGAUCCGCGCCGCAUUAGCUAGUUGGUAAGGUAACGGCUUACCAAGGCAACGAUGCAUAGCCGACCUGAGAGGGUGAUCGGCCACACUGGAACUGAGACACGGUCCAGACUCCUACGGGAGGCAGCAGUAGGGAAUCUUCCGCAAUGGGCGAAAGCCUGACGGAGCAACGCCGCGUGAGUGAUGAAGGUCUUCGGAUCGUAAAACUCUGUUAUUAGGGAAGAACAAAUGUGUAAGUAACUAUGCACGUCUUGACGGUACCUAAUCAGAAAGCCACGGCUAACUACGUG